ACCACCGCUGGUCUCCGGUCUCUUCUCUCCGGCCCCCAUCACCGGAUACACCCCACCACUACCGGUCUCCCUUCUCCCGUCCCCAUCGCCUCCCAUCGUCUCCCACUUCGUCACGGUAACUUUGCUCUUCCUCUCUGCCCUGCUCCUUGCCUUAAUUUCUCCUCUUUGGUGAUCCCAGAGCGGGUAGUUGUAGAAAUCUUGCUGACCUGCUGCUGCUCUGUUCACCUCAUUUCGCAAGUAUCCAUUGGCCAUCGUGGGGUUGUUUUUCAUCCGGUAACUGCAUCAUCUCUCCUUUUGUCCAGAACAACUACUCCAUUUGUUGUGCUUGAACCUGUCGUAUUAUCCAUCCGUGGUUGAAGUUGUAGGUCACUGGUAGAAGCCUCUUUUGACAAAUCAUUUUUGCGCCCAUUGUAACUAUUGCUUUCAUAUUGAGAAAUCUUUGUGGCGGAAGGAAGGAAGGAAGGAAGCCAUAUAACAUAGCUGCAGUGAGGUGCAAGGCAAACCCUAAG